AGUUUUGGAGUUCGUCCUUCUUUGCAGUAUUUGUCCACGACAAUUUUGAUCGUUUCCUCGACGUUGCAACUCAAUUUAACCAUUGCUCUUACAGGUCCAGGACUUCCUUCUACUGCUACACUGAUUACUACUUUUGGUGCUUCUUUUGUAUUACCCUGAUUUUGUUUCCAAUUAAAGUCAAAUAAAUUUAUAGUUUUUGGAACUUACUCGAAAGUUCAAAUUUUAGUAUCUUUCUCAGGAUCUGAUUUCGUGAAUUGAAGAACUGACACUAAUAGAAUUUAUAGCUUACCUAAACUCUCUGUUAAAAAUAAGGGUUAGAUUGAAAUGUUUUAAAAUAUUAGGUUUAAAUUAGAAACUUUCAAAAUAUUCGUGGACUAAAUGUUGAAUUCUUGUACAGAGUUGAAAUCAUGGAUUUGUUGAUUUGAAAAAAUAGUAGAAAACGACUCUGACCUCUUGAUUGAUCGGAGAUAAAGACGACGGCGAAGAGAAGUUCAACAACGACGGAGAAGAAGCGAAAACCUCAGAGCGAAUCCGUGGCAAGUAAACGAUCGGUUCGGAUUCUUCCAGUGGUAAACCUCUCAUCGGCGAUGGUCGUCGCAAGUGAUUACUGUCUCCAUCGCGGCGACGAUUUAGACUCGGUUCUGAGAAGCUUCGUUCAAAAACCUUAUUACUCGAUUUAGAGAGACUAUUCUUGUCGGAAACAUAUCGGAAAGCUGUUCGUCUCGUCCUGGAGCUCCGACCUCCAUUUCCGACCGGAGUCGGAACUUUUCUCCGGUGAAUUGAAUCUGACAUUUCGUGAGAUGAUGAUCUUUGCUUGAGGAGGAGAAAGAAGAAAGAAAUUGAGAGGUUUUGGGGGAUUGCUUGGCAAAGAAGCGAAUAAGAGUUAUUCUC
rnacentral:lncRNA from 1 species